AAAAGGUUUACUUCACUUAUGGCCGAGUACGCAAUCAGAGGUAAUUAGAGUGCCGACUGCAGCUCACGCAUUUUACGACUUUAUAGAGCUGCUGCGGUCGAUUAUAUGAUUGUUUACUAGCCGGACUCUGCAGGAUUUGUGCCCAAGGCGACGAGGAGGGUUCCUUGGAUGGCUUAUGUGACUAAGUUUUUAAUAAGUGGAUUUGGGCGGUCGCUCCUCCUCCGAAAAAGGCGCGUCGACCAAUGCGAUAAAUAAAAGAUAAGCGUGUUCCAGUUUAUUAAUUUUUAACGAAUGGACAGCGGCAAAGGAACCAACAGUUUCGUGAGGAAAAAAACUGUUUUACCAUCCGGUCGACAAAAAAAAAAAAACCCGAACUGCCAUAUUAUUUUAAAACGGAUAAUACAAUAAGUAAUAGAAUAUGGUUAGGUUGGUAAAAAAAAAAAAAAAUCUAAUUAAAUAAAUGAAAUCAAUUAAGAAAUGAAAAAAAAAAAAAUUGA